CCUCAGCACCCCCAGGUUCAAAUGCAACACCCCCCACCUCAUCAGCCCCAGCACCCCCAUCCUCAACACCCCCCUCAUGCCCCACACCCACAUCAGCCACCCCCCACUCAUCGUGGGCCCAGCCGUGGUCCUCCACAUGGCAGCCAUCGGCCAUCUCCCGAUCAGGAUGACGAGGAGGGAAUUUGGGCAUAACCGCUUCCAUGAUCUCCAAAACUCUGAGGGGUAAAGAAUCACAAGGGACCUAAAGCUUGCAAAAGUCCUUCAGAAGCUGAGAACAGCCCCAUCUAUUUUUCAUUGAUGGACUUGUCCAUAUAUAGACAGCCUUGUACACAGAUGCCAUUACAAAGGCUUGCAUUAGCACAGUUGCUGUAGUGUAUAGACCCACAAAUAUAUGUCUUCUUGAACAAAUCUCUUCAAGAAAAGUCCAUACGAACAGACUGCAGUCAUAACGGGCAGUUUGGUGGGGCACACACCCUCCAUCAGAGCUUUACUUACUGGCAUCAUUCAUACUUAUGUCCUGCGUUCGCGACCCUCAAACAAGCGUAACUGAUUUUUCACUAAUUUCAUUUCAGUCUGGUAAGAACACAUACAGAGAUCCACCUUGAUAGGGACAGGCAAACAGAGCCUCCUCCUUCUUAUUAAUCAUUUGGAAAAUGGCACUUUGAAAGGCACCAGUAAAACUAGGAACUUUGAGUUGGACCUGCAGUCAGUCCUGCUACAACGCAGCUAAUACAUUCCUGAAAAACCUUGCAUUCACUAAAGUCACGUACUGAAAUACACAUAUCCAAUGGGGAAAAUGGGGUUGGGGGAAUGCAACUCUGAAGCUUAGUAACUUACACCAGUGAUAAUAGUGGCCAAUAAUGUAAUUACAGUAGAACCUUGGAACUGGAACGCCUCUUAACACGACUAAGGCAGACGUCGAACUAGUCUGUCAAUUUUUUUUUCUACUUGUACCUCGAUCGAAAUCUCAGAACUUGACCAUUCCUCCUAAACCUUGUGUGUGUUGAGAUGCAUUCAACUCUACCAAGUCGACUAGAUCAGUUGAGAAAAAUUUAGCUGCAACUCAACCGAAAACUUGAAACACUACAAAAUAAAACAAACCUGCUAAAACUUGUACAGAGGGAGACGCAUCUCCCCUUGCUUUUGUAUGUGUGCUUUUUCAUGUGUGUAUUAGUUUCAUAUUGAUUUAUAUUGAUUGUUAAUGUUUUUAUCAUUAGUUAGGUAGGCAGAUAGGUUCAAAUAGGAAAUCAUUUGGGGGUCUAGAAUGGAUUAAGAUCAUUUACAUUAUUUCUUAUGGGGAAAUUCGACUUGGACCUCAGCCAAAUCUCAACUCGACUAGCUGUCUGGGACAAAUUAAGUUUGUGUUUCAAAGGUACCAAACUGGUUAGGUUCCAAACUGUACCAUCCAUCCAUCCAUUGUCCAACCCGCUUAUCCUACUGGGUCACGGGGGGUCCGGAGCCUAUCCUGGAAGCAAUGGGCACGAGGCAGGGAACAA